CACGUGAGCAACCUGCCCUUGACACUGGAAUAACAGUUGGAAACAGCUGCUAAUGCCAGAUAUGACCUUCGGUGGCAUCACCAGAAGGUGGAAAGUGCUUAGCGGUCAAGGAUGGGCUCGCGGCCUAUCAGCUUGUUGGUGAGGUAACGGCUCACCAAGGCUUCGACGGGUAGCCGGCCUGAGAGGGCGACCGGCCACACUGGGACUGAGAUACGGCCCAGACUCCUACGGGAGGCAGCAGUGGGGAAUAUUGCACAAUGGGCGCAAGCCUGAUGCAGCAACGCCGCGUGCGGGAUGACG
rnacentral:rRNA from 1 species